CAGUGCAGUGGGGAGAUCUCAGCUCACUGCAACCUUUGCCUCCCGGGUUCAAGCAAUUCUCUGGCUUCAGCUGCCCAAAUAGCUGCGACUACAGGUGCACGCCACCACACCCAGCAAAUGUUUGUACUUUGAGUAGAGACAGGUUUUCACCUUGUUGCCCAGGCUGGUCUGGAACUCCUGAGCUCAAGUGAUCUGCCUGCUU